GGCGCCCUGGGGUCGCCGCGCCAGGAGCUCAGGGGAGGCACCUCCCCUCCUCCGUGUCUCCGCAUGGCCCUAGGGCUCCCCACAGAGGGAGCCGGGGCCUCCCGCCCACGACCGCGGAGCGGCCCCUUCCCGCGUGGCGGGGCCAGCGAGCUCCUCUUGCGGGGCGUGGACGGGGCCGGGGUGCCCGGCAUACAAGCUUAUGGAGCAGCCCCCUUUGAAGAUCUCCAGGUGGACCUCACAGAGAUGCCACAGUGUGGCGGUAACAAGUGUUUGCUAGUUCUUGUGUGUACCUGCUCUGGGUGGGUGGAGGUUCAUCCAACACGAACUGAGAAAGCUCCUGAAGUAACCCGUGUGCUUCUUCGAGAUCUUAUUCCUAGAUUUGGACUGCGCUUACGGAUCGGCUCAGAUAACCGGCGGGGGUUUGUGGCUGACUUGGUACAGAAGACAGCAAAGGUGACCCAGUGUGGAUCAAGGACUAGAACGUAGCCUCUUUGUGCCCAUGGUGGAAAGGACCCCAGACUGUCGUCCUGACCACUCCCACUGCUGUGAAGGUAGAGGGAAUCCCAGCCUGGAUCCACCACAGCCUUGUAAAACCUGCAGCGCCUGAAACCUGGGAGGCAAGACCAAGCCCGGACAACCCUUGCGGAGUGACCCUGAAGAAGACGACAAGCCCUACUCCAGUCACACCCGGAAGCUGACUGGUCCACGCACGGCCGAAGCAUGAGGAAUCUCAUCGUGGGAUUCAUUUUCUUAAAUUUUGGACUUAUACAGUAAGGGCUUCAACUGACCUUACUCAAACCGGUGACUGUUCCCAGUGUAUUCAUCAGGUCACUGAGGUAGGACAGCAAAUUAAAACAAUCUUCCUGCCGGGCGCGGUGGCUCAA